GUGAAUCAUCAAAUUUUUGAACGCAAAUUGCACUUUCUGGUAUUCCGGAAAGUAUGCCUGUUUGAGGGUCAGCCUAUAAAAAAUCGACAGCGUUGCUGGUUCGCGGUGGCGUCCGUCGGAAUUUGGGUCAUCUUAAAUUUUUUGGUUCAAGCGACUUAAAUAUUUUUUUUACGAUUAUAAUAAUGUUAUUAAGAUUUUUCU
rnacentral:misc_RNA from 1 species